rnacentral:misc_RNA from 1 species
GAUGAAGAACGCAGCGAACGUGCGAAACGUAAUGUGAAUUGCAGAAUUCAGUGAAUCAUCGAAUCUUUGAACGCAUCUUGCGCUCCUUGGUAUUCCGAGGAGCAUGCCUGUUUGAGUGUCGUGAAUAACUCUCAAUUUCAAAUAUUUUUUUAAAAAAAGAAUAUCUGACAUUGGACUUGGGCGUUGUCGUGUUUCUACGACUCGUCCUAAAUGCAUUAGCGAUCUGCCCUGAUCACACACAAUGUGAUAAGUAAAAAAUAAAGCAUUGUUAUGGUUGGGUUUGAAAGAUGGCUUCUAAUCGUCGUAAUGACAAAUAAAAGAUCAUGUCGUUUGACCUCAAAUCAGGCAGGACUACCCGCUGAACUUAAGCAUAUCAAUAAGCGGAGGA